rnacentral:rRNA from 1 species
CGGGUGAGUAACACGUGGGCAAUCACCUUUCGGUGAGGAAUACCGGCGAGAAAUCGCCGACAAUACCGCAUACGCUUCGUGAGAAGCAAAGUCGCAAGACGCCGGGGGAGGAGCCUGCGCCCGAUUAGCUAGUUGGUGAGGUAAGAGCUCACCAAGGCGACGAUCGGUAGCUGGUCUGAGAGGAUGAUCAGCCACACUGGGAUUGAGAACGGCCCAG